GGGUAUUUUUGGAGAGAUAAUGCAGAUUUGGGGGUAAAUGGGGGAUUUUUGAAGAGAAAAUGCAGGAUUUUUGGGUUAAUGGGGUAAUUUUUGAAGGAAAAUGUAUGAUGAUGGGGUUAAAUGGGAGAUUUCCGAAGAGAAAUUGCGUUUUUAUCAGGUUAAAUGGGGGAUUUUCCAAGAGAAAAUGUGUGAUUUUAGGGUUAAGGGGGGGUAUUUUUGGAGAGAUAAUGCAAGAUUUGGGGGUAAAUGGGGAUUUUAAGAGAAAAUGCAGGAUUUUUGGGUUAAUGGGGUAAUUUUUGAAGGAAAAUGUAUGAUGAUGGGGUUAAAUGGGAGAUUUCCGAAGAGAAAUUGCGUUUUUAUCAGGUUAAAUGGGGGAUUCUCGAAGAGAAAAUUCACGACUUUUGGUUAAAUGGGGGAUUUUUGUGGUAAAAAUGCGUGGCUGUCAGGUUAAAGUGGGGAUUCUCGAAGAGAAAAUGCCUGAUUUCUGGGUUGAAUGUUUGUUGGUUUUUUUUUUCCUUUAGAGAAAAGUGGUGAUUUUUGAUUGUGUAUUUUUCCAAGAGAAAAUGCAUGGUUUUUCCAUUAAAGGGGGGAUUUUUUGAAAAGAAAAUGCGUGACUUUCGGGUUAGAUCAGGGAUUCUUGAAGAGAAAAUGCAUCAUUUUUGGGUGGCAUGGGGGAUUUCCGAAGA
ensembl:lncRNA